UACGUAGGGUGCAAGCGUUGUCCGGAUUUAUUGGGUUUAAAGGGUGCGUAGGCGGCCCAUUAAGUCCGUGGUGAAAGCCAACAGCUCAACUGUUGAACUGCCAUGGAUACUGAUGGGCUUGAGUACAGACGAGGUAGGCGGAAUGGAUGCUGUAGCGGUGAAAUGCAUAGAUAGCAUCCAGAACCCCGAUUGCGUAGGCAGCUUACUAGGCUGUAACUGACGCUGAGGCACGAAAGCGUGGGGAGCGAACAGG
rnacentral:rRNA from 1 species